UACGUAGGGUGCAAGCGUUGUCCGGAAUUAUUGGGCGUAAAGAGCUCGUAGGCGGUUUGUUGCGUCGGCUGUGAAAUCCCGAGGCUCAACCUCGGGUCUGCAGUCGAUACGAGCAAACUAGAGUGUUGCAGGGGAGACUGGAAUUCCUGGUGUAGCGGUGAAAUGCGCAGAUAUCAGGAGGAACACCUAUGGCGAAGGCAGCUCGCUGGGACGGUACUGACGCUGAGGCGCGAAAGCGUGGGGAGCGAACAGG
rnacentral:rRNA from 1 species